rnacentral:rRNA from 1 species
CUAUAAGACUGGGAUAACUUCGGGAAACCGGAGCUAAUACCGGAUAAUAUAUUGAACCGCAUGGUUCAAUAGUGAAAGACGGUUUUGCUGUCACUUAUAGAUGGAUCCGCGCCGCAUUAGCUAGUUGGUAAGGUAACGGCUUACCAAGGCAACGAUGCGUAGCCGACCUGAGAGGGUGAUCGGCCACACUGGAACUGAGACACGGUCCAG